UUGAACGCUGGCGGCAUGCCUUACACAUGCAAGUCGAACGGUAGAGGAGCAAUCCUCGAGAGUGGCGAACGGGUGAGUAAUGUAUCGGAACGUGCCCAGUAGUGGGGGAUAGCCCGGCGAAAGCCGGAUUAAUACCGCAUGAUACCUGAGGGUGAAAGCGGGGGACUCGCAAGAGCCUCGCGCUACUGGAGCGGCCGAUAUCAGAUUAGGUAGUUGGUGGGGUAAAAGCCUACCAAGCCUGCGAUCUGUAGCUGGUCUGAGAGGACGACCAGCCACACUGGGACUGAGACACGGCCCAGACUCCUACGGGAGGCAGCAGUGGGGAAUUUUGGACAAUGGGGGAAACCCUGAUCCAGCCAUUCCGCGUGAGUGAAGAAGGCCUUCGGGUUGUAAAGCUCUUUCAGCAGGAACGAAACGGUCGGCUUUAAUAAAGUCGGCUAAUGACGGUACCUGCAGAAGAAGCACCGGCUAACUACGU
rnacentral:rRNA from 1 species